UACGUAGGGUGCGAGCGUUGUCCGGAAUUAUUGGGCGUAAAGAGCUCGUAGGCGGUUUGUUGCGUCUAUCGUGAAAACCUGCGGCUUAACUGUGGGCUUGCGGUGGAUACUGGCCGGGCUAGAGUCCGGAAGAGGCGAGUGGAACUCCUGGUGUAGCGGUGGAAUGCGCAGAUAUCAGGAAGAACACCAAUGGCGAAGGCAGCUCUCUGGGACGGUACUGACACUGAGGCGCGAAAGCGUGGGGGAGCAAACAGG
rnacentral:rRNA from 1 species